GAACCUUACCUACUCUUGACAUCCAGAGAAUUCGCUAGAGAUAGCUUAGUGCCUUCGGGAACUCUGAGACAGGUGCUGCAUGGCUGUCGUCAGCUCGUGUUGUGAAAUGUUGGGUUAAGUCCCGCAACGAGCGCAACCCUUAUCCUUUGUUGCCAGCGAGUAAUGUCGGGAACUCAAAGGAGACUGCCGGUGAUAAACCGGAGGAAGGUGGGGAUGACGUCAAGUCAUCAUGGCCCUUACGAGUAGGGCUACACACGUGCUACAAUGGCAUAUACAAAGAGAAGCGAACUCGCGAGAGCAAGCGGACCUCAUAAAGUAUGUCGUAGUCCGGAUUGGAGUCUGCAACUCGACUCCAUGAAGUCGGAAUCGCUAGUAAUCGUAGAUCAGAAUGC
rnacentral:rRNA from 1 species